rnacentral:rRNA from 1 species
GACGAACGCUGGCGGCGUGCUUAACACAUGCAAGUCGAACGGAAAGGCCCUGCUUUUGUGGGGUGCUCGAGUGGCGAACGGGUGAGUAACACGUGAGUAACCUGCCCUUGACUUUGGGAUAACUUCAGGAAACUGGGGCUAAUACCGGAUAGGAGCUCCUGCUGCAUGGUGGGGGUUGGAAAGUUUCGGCGGUUGGGGAUGGACUCGCGGCUUAUCAGCUUGUUGGUGGGGUAGUGGCUUACCAAGGCUUUGACGGGUAGCCGGCCUGAGAGGGUGACCGGCCACAUUGGGACUGAGAUACGGCCCAGACUCCUACGGGAGGCAGCAGUGGGGAAUAUUGCACAAUGGGCGGAAGCCUGAUGCAGCAACGCCGCGUGCGGGAUGACGGCCUUCGGGUUGUAAACCGCUUUCGCCUGUGACGAAGCGUGAGUGACAGUAAUGGGUAAAGAAGCACCGGCUAACUACGUGCCAGCAGCCGCGGUGAUACGUAGGGUGCGAGCGUUGUCCGGAUUUAUUGGGCGUAAAGGGCUCGUAGGUGGUUGAUCGCGUCGGAAGUGUAAUCUUGGGGCUUAACCCUGAGCGUGCUUUCGAUACGGGUUGACUUGAGGAAGGUAGGGGAGAAUGGAAUUCCUGGUGGAGCGGUGGAAUGCGCAGAUAUCAGGAGGAACACCAGUGGCGAAGGCGGUUCUCUGGGCCUUUCCUGACGCUGAGGAGCGAAAGCGUGGGGAGCGAACAGGCUUAGAUACCCUGGUAGUCCACGCUGUAAACGGUGGGUACUAGGUGUGGGGUCCAUUCCACGGGUUCCGUGCCGUAGCUAACGCUUUAAGUACCCCGCCUGGGGAGUACGGCCGCAAGGCUAAAACUCAAAGGAAUUGACGGGGCCCCGCACAAGCGGCGGAGCAUGCGGAUUAAUUCGAUGCAACGCGUAGAACCUUACCUGGGUUUGACAUGGAUCGGGAGCGCUCAGAGAUGGGUGUGCCUCUUUUGGGGUCGGUUCACAGGUGGUGCAUGGCUGUCGUCAGCUCGUGUCGUGAGAUGUUGGGUUAAGUCCCGCAACGAGCGCAACCCUUGUUCACUGUUGCCAGCACGUUAUGGUGGGGACUCAGUGGAGACCGCCGGGGUCAACUCGGAGGAAGGUGGGGAUGACGUCAAGUCAUCAUGCCCCUUAUGUCCAGGGCUUCACGCAUGCUACAAUGGCUGGUACAGAGAGUGGCGAGCCUGUGAGGGUGAGCGAAUCUCGGAAAGCCGGUCUCAGUUCGGAUUGGGGUCUGCAACUCGACCUCAUGAAGUCGGAGUCGCUAGUAAUCGCAGAUCAGCAACGCUGCGGUGAAUACGUUCCCGGGGCU